rnacentral:rRNA from 1 species
AUUGAACGCUGGCGGAAUGCCUUACACAUGCAAGUCGGACGGCAGCGGGCCCUUCGGGGUGCCGGCGAGUGGCGAACGGGUGAGUAAUACAUCGGAACGUACCCUCUGGUGGGGGAUAACCCGUCGAAAGACGGGCUAAUACCGCAUGAGCUCUGAGGAGGAAAGCGGGGGACCGCGAGGCCUUGCGCCAGAGGAGCGGCCGAUGUCCGAUUAACUAGUUGGUGGGGUAAAGGCCUACCAAGGCGACGAUCGGUAGCGGGUCUGAGAGGACCGCCCGCCACACUGGGACUGAAACACGGCCCAUACUCCUACGGGAGGCAGCAGUGGGGAAUUUUGGACGAUGGGGGCAACCCUGAUCCAGCCAUUCCGCGUGAGUGAAGAACGCCUUCGGGUUGUAAAGCUCUUUCGGCAGGAACGAAACGGUGGGCUCUAACAGAGUCUGCUAAUGACGGUACCUGAAGAAGAAGCACCGGCUAACUACGUGCCAGCAGCCGCGGUAAUACGUAGGGUGCGAGCGUUAAUCGUAAUUACUGGGCGUACAGCGUGCGCAGGCUGUUUUUGUAAGACAGAUGUGAAAUCCGCCGGGCUUAACCUGAGAACUGCGUUUGUGACUGCAAAGCUAGAGUGCGGCA